AACUCAUGGUGAGGGAAUGAACGCAUCAUCUCCUUGAAUCACACCCAAGUUUCCGUAAGUGUCUCAUCAUUCACUUGCUCAAAUGAGGAGAUCUUCCUCCUUAUGUC